UCAAAAGUUUGUCUUGUGACCUA
rnacentral:siRNA from 1 species